UACGUAGGGUGCGAGCGUUAAUCGGAAUUACUGGGCGUAAAGCGUGCGCAGGCGGUUUGCUAAGACCGAUGUGAAAUCCCCGGGCUCAACCUGGGAACUGCAUUGGUGACUGGCAGGCUAGAGUAUGGCAGAGGGGGGUAGAAUUCCACGUGUAGCAGUGAAAUGCGUAGAGAUGUGGAGGAAUACCGAUGGCGAAGGCAGCCCCCCUGGGCCAAUACUGACGCUCAUGCACGAAAGCGUGGGGGGAGCAAACAGGAUUAGAUACCCUGGUAGUCCACACCCUAAACGACGUCAACUGGUUGUUGGGGAUUCAUUUCCUUAGUAACGUAGCUAACGCGUGAAGUUGACCGCCUGGGGAGUACGGUCGCAAGAUUAAAACUC
rnacentral:rRNA from 1 species